UCAACUUCUUAUUUUUUUUUUUGUCAUCCAUAUAUCAACUUCUACAAUCAAUUUCUUUUAUUCCAUGAAACAGAACAGUCGAUGCUUUCAUCUCUUUUUUCUCGAAGAAAAAUGAAACUUCAAUCUGAUGGGAGCAGUAAAAAAUUUGAAGAUGUGGAAACAGUCAUUGAUUUUGGAAAAGAUCAAGCGAAAGUUAUAGAUGGCUUUGGGAAAUAUUUCGGUAUCAAUUGGUUGGUGAGGAGAGACGAGAGUUCAUAUUUUGCUAAGAAAAUGAAGGAAUGGCUCUUCCUCAAACCAAUGUGGGUCAACUAACAUCGAAGAAUAAAAUUAGGACGAAGAUAUAUGACUAGAGAAGAAGAGUUCAAGGAUAAUAGUAGAAGAAAAGAUGGACUUCCAAUCUAUCAAGAGACCCUCAACCCACAUGUUUUGAUUAAGGUCAGAUGCAAAACCUUGGUUUUAUAUAUUUUGUUUCCUUUUUUAUUCUCUUUAGCCAUCAAAAUAAUUCUGAAAGAUUUUAAGCUUGAUAAAUUAUUAAAUCUCAAAUUUGUGCAGCUUCUAAACGAAAAUUUUUCAAUAGUAUUUUAUAUAACUAAUAAACAUCAUGGAUAGUAUAUAUAAGCAUGUAAGAAUAUGCUUGAGACCAUUCUGUAUCUGCUAAAAUAAAAUAAGUAAAUUAUAAAUCUGUUAAUUUCUGUAAUAUUAUCUUAUAUAUUGGUCAACCAAUUAUAAUACAUAACUUAUGCAAUAUUUCUUAUAGUAUGCAUUUUACGUGUAGAUAUACUAAGAUGUUAUAUUUUAUCGAAAAAAUUCUUCCAAAUGUUAAAACUUAAUUUAAUAUAUAAAAUAAAUAUACACUUUGUAGUCACACGAUUAAGUUGAACUAAAAGCUUAAUUAAGAAAAGAAUAUCCAUGCAUAUCAUGGGUGAAACAUACUAGUAUAUUUAAAAUCUAUACAAAGAA